UACGUAGGGGGCAAGCGUUGUCCGGAAUCAUUGGGCGUAAAGCGCGUGUAGGCGGUUCGAUAAGUCUGCUGUGAAAGUCCAGGGCUCAACCCUGGGAUGCCGGUGGAUACUGUCGGACUAGAGUACGGAAGAGGCGAGUGGAAUUCCCGGUGUAGCGGUGAAAUGCGCAGAUAUCGGGAGGAACACCAAUUGCGAAGGCAGCUCGCUGGGACGUCACUGAUGCUGAGACGCGAAAGCGUGGGGAGCAAACAGG
rnacentral:rRNA from 1 species